GUGGGUGAUGAAGGCCCUAGGGUUGUAAAGCCCUUUCGGCGGGGAAGAUAAUGACGGUACCCGCAGAAGAAGCCCCGGCUAACUUCGUGCCAGCAGCCGCGGUAAUACGAAGGGGGCUAGCGUUGCUCGGAAUCACUGGGGUAAAGCGCACGUAGGCGGAUUGCUAAGUCAGGGGUGAAAUCCUGGAGCUCAACUCCAGAACUGCCUUUAUACUGGCGAUCUUGAGUCCGGGAGAGGUGAGUGGAACUGCGAGUGUAGAGGUGAAAUUCGUAGAUAUUCGCAAGAACACCAGUGGCGAAGGCGGCUCACUGGCCCGGUACUGACGCUGAGGUGCGAAAGCGUGGGGACCAAACAGGAUUAGAUACCCUGGUAGUCCACGCCGUAAACGAUGGAUGCUAGCCGUUGGUGGGUUUACCCCCCUAGUGGCGCAGCUAACGCAUUAAGCAUCCCGCCUGGGGAGUACGGUCGCAAGAUUAAAACUCAAAGGAA
rnacentral:rRNA from 1 species